rnacentral:rRNA from 1 species
UACAGAGGGGGCAAGCGUUGUUCGGAAUUACUGGGCGUAAAGGGCGCGUAGGCGGCCCGGCAAGUCAAAGGUGAAAGCCCUCGGCUCAACUGAGGAACUGCCUUUGAAACUGUCGGGCUUGAGGCCGGGAGGGGGUAGCGGAAUUCCCAGUGUAGCGGUGAAAUGCGUAGAUACUGGGAGGAACACCAGUGGCGAAGGCGGCUACCUGGACCGGUUCUGACGCUGAGGCGCGAAAGCGUGGGGAGCAAACGGG